rnacentral:rRNA from 1 species
UAAAGUACUUUCAGUUGUGAGGAAAGGGGGUAACGUUAAUAGCGUAUCUCUUGACGUUAGCAACAGAAGAAGCACCGGCUAACUCCGUGCCAGCAGCCGCGGUAAUACGGAGGGUGCGAGCGUUAAUCGGAAUUACUGGGCGUAAAGCGCAUGCAGGUGGUUCAUUAAGUCAGAUGUGAAAGCCCGGGGCUCAACCUCGGAACUGCAUUUUGAAACUGGUGAACUAGAGUACUGUAGAGGGGGGUAGAAUUUCAGGUGUAGCGGUGAAAUGCGUAGAGAUCUGAAGGAAUACCAGUGGCGAAGGCGGCCCCCUGGACAGAUACUGACACUCAGAUGCGAAAGCGUGGGGAGCAAACAGGAUUAGAUACCCCUGGUAGUCCACGCCGUAAACGAUGUCUACUUGGAGGUUGUGGCCUUGAGCCGUGGCUUUCGGAGCUAACGCGUUAAGUAGACCGCCUGGGGAGUACGGUCGCAAGAUUAAAACUCAAAUGAAUUGACGGGGGCCCGCACAAGCGGUGGAGCAUGUGGUUUAAUUCGAUGCAACGCGAAGAACCUUACCUACUCUUGACAUCCAGAGAAUCCAGCGGAGACGCAGGAGUGCCUUCGGGAGCUCUGAGACAGGUGCUGCAUGGCUGUCGUCAGCUCGUGUUGUGAAAUGUUGGGUUAAGUCCCGCAACGAGCGCAACCCUUAUCCUUGUUUGCCAGCACGUAAUGGUGGGAACUCCAGGGAGACUGCCGGUGAUAAACCGGAGGAAGGUGGGGACGACGUCAAGUCAUCAUGGCCCUUACGAGUAGGGCUACACACGUGCUACAAUGGCGCAUACAGAGGGCAGCGAGCCAGCGAUGGUAAGCGAAUCCCAAAAAGUGCGUCGUAGUCCGGAUUGGAGUCUGCAACUCGACUCCAUGAAGUCGGAAUCGCUAGUAAUCGUGAAUCAGAAUGUCACGGUGAAUACGUUCCCGGGCCUUGUACACACCGCCCGACACACCAUGGGAGUGGGCUGCAAAAGAAGUAGGUAGUCUAACCUUCGGGAGGACGCUACCA